CGUUAUCAUGAUACAUUUAGCUACACUGAUCUAUAAUUGUUAAACCUUUUACUACUUGAAUAGUGACGAAAUAUAUCAAAGGGACAUCAAACUAAUAAUUAAAAACGAACUGACAAAGCCGGGCAAAAAACGAACAAGACAAGCAACAGUAUACAAAACACAACAUAUAAAACUACAGAUUGAGUAACACAAACCCCCCCCCAAAAAAAA
rnacentral:lncRNA from 1 species